CCCUUAGAUGUUCUGGGCCGCACGCGCGCUACACUGAUGCAUUCAACGAGUCGAUCCUUGCUCGAAAGAGCCGGGUAAUCUUUUGAAAUUGCAUCGUGAUGGGGCUUGCGGGAUGCAACUACCCGCACCAACGAGGAAUUCCUAGUAAACGCGAGUCAUCAGCUCGCAUUGAUUACGUCCCUGCCCUUUGUACACACCGCCCGUCGCACCUACCGAUUGAAUGGUUCGGUGAAGAUCUCGGACUUCGAUAUUUAUUCUUUAUUGAGUUUAUAUUGUGGGAAGUUAUCUAAACCUCAUCAUUUAGAGGAAGGUGAAGUCGUAACA
rnacentral:rRNA from 1 species